GACGAACGCUGGCGGCGUGCUUAACACAUGCAAGUCGAACGGAAAGGCCCUGCUUUUGUGGGGUGCUCGAGUGGCGAACGGGUGAGUAACACGUGAGUAACCUGCCCUUGACUUUGGGAUAACUUCAGGAAACUGGGGCUAAUACCGGAUAUGAGCUCCUGCUGCAUGGUGGGGGUUGGAAAGUUUCGGCGGUUGGGGAUGGACUCGCGGCUUAUCAGCUUGUUGGUGGGGUAGUGGCUUACCAAGGCUUUGACGGGUAGCCGGCCUGAGAGGGUGACCGGCCACAUUGGGACUGAGAUACGGCCCAGAGUCCUACGGGAGGCAGCAGUGGGGAAUAUUGCAGAAUGGGCGGAAGCCUGAUGCAGCAAGGCCGCGUGCUGGAUGACGGCCUUCGGGUUGUAAACCGCUUUCGCCUGUGACGAAGCGUGAGUGACGGUAAUGGGUAAAGAAGCACCGGCUAACUACGUG
rnacentral:rRNA from 1 species